GCAGGGCGGAUGCCUUGGCACUAGGAGCCGAUGAAGGACGGGACUAACGCCGAUAUGCUCUGGGGAGCUGUAAGUAAGCAUUGAUCCAGAGAUUUCCGAAUGGGGAAACCCAGCACAAGUUAUGUUGUGUUAUCGACAAGUGAAUUCAUAGCUUGUCAGAAGGCAGACCCGGAGAACUGAAACAUCUUAGUACCCGGAGGAAAAAAAA
rnacentral:rRNA from 1 species